rnacentral:rRNA from 1 species
UACGUAGGGAGCAAGCGUUGUCCGGAAUCAUUGGGCGUAAAGCGCGCGUAGGUGGCUUCGUAAGUCCGUUGUGAAAGUCAAAGGCUCAACCUUUGAAAGCCGAUGGAUACUGCGGAGCUAGAGUACGGAAGAGGCGAGUGGAAUUCCUGGUGUAGCGGUGGAAUGCGUAGAUAUCGGGGAGGAACACCAGUGGCGAAGGCGGCUUCCUGGCCUGUUCUUGACGCUGAGGCGCGAAAGCUAGGGGAGCAAACGGG